rnacentral:lncRNA from 1 species
UGAGCGUAUAGCUUGUAUUUCAAUCUGUGAAAGAUUGUGCUUCUUAUAGGAUGUAGAAUCAUAAGCAAUGCUCACAUCCUUUAUAAUUUCUCUGCUGACAAUUUAUGAGGGCUAAUAGAACUAAUUCUCUGAUUAAUAGAACUAAUUCUAACAUAUCACUAAUAGAGACUAAACUCACCUUAAUGAUAAUUCGAGGUGAGGAAACUUCUAGCAAGUAAGGAUGAUGGAGGUGUCAUCAAAGACCCUCACUGUAAGAAUUAAUUUUUCCCCCUGUGGUGGGAGUUCUAUUGUUGGUCAUAAAAGCAGAGCAUGCUUCAGUCCUCCUCUGAUCAGUGAUGGCAGAGCAUGCUUCAGUCCUCUGAUCAGUGAUGGCAGAGCAUGCUUCAGUCCUCCUCUGAUCAGUGAUGGCACGACUUGUAAUCUCCUUAGAUCAAAUAUUUCAUGGGUGUAUGUCAUCUACUUUUUUGAUGAAGCCAUUGUAAGAGUGUUUCACUUCCACAUUUAUCCUCAUGUUCUGGUCUUUCACAAUGAUCUCGUUUCUCCUAAAGUAUUUCCAUAGGUUUGCUAGGUUAACUGCCCUGCUGAAAUUGUAGUUUCCAACCAUUCUUGAACCACAAUUGAGACAGACGGUGAGGGAAUUUCUAUACAAGGUAUAUCAAUUGAGUCAAAUAUUGCCAAAAACAACACAUCUCUUGUGCUUUAUAAAGUGCAAUUGAGAUGAUGUGUGGGUGAAAAAACCCAAAUGUGGUCUUUCCCAUCUUUUCUCCGUAAAAAACCACCCAAUAGCUCAACUUCGACUCUGUCCAAGCUCAAAGCAAUGUCUGGCUGAACCUGAUCAUACUAUCUUUUCGUCCAAUGUUUCCCUUACUGCCAUGUGGGUGGACUCUGGCAAGAGAGUCCUCGACAAAGUUGAAUUAAGGUGGGGCCCAUGGGGAUUCUCUAAAAAAUCACCAUGUUUUUUUCUUUUUGUGAAGAGUUCUUUUACUGCAUCUCAAUCUUGGCUGGAAAUGCUAUUAAAAACUGAUCUAUUAGUGAUAUAAUAAGGGACUUUUAUGUAAUUAGUUUAAUUACUUUUAUAACUCCUUUAAGCUAGGAUAUAAUUCUAGAACUUUCUAAUUGGGUAAGACUUAACAGAAACGGUUAUCGUUCUGUUAAGUCUCAAUCCUCCUAAAUUGUAUAUAAGUAAAUUAAUAACAUUUUAGGAGGGAUCGAACAUUUAUUCUCCCCCAUUUCCCAAACGCAUUCGUCCAAUGUUUCUCUUACUGCCAUGUGGGUGGACUCUGGCAAGAGAGUCCUCGACAAAGUUGAAUUAAGGUGGGGCCCAUGGGGAUUCUCUAAAAAAUCACCAUUUUUUUUUUGUGUGAAGAGUUCUUUUACUGCAUCUCAAUCUUGGCUAGAAAUGCUAUUAAAAACUGAUCUGAAGAAAAUUUACCUUCCUCGAAAAAAUAAUAAUAUGUAACUAUAUUUAGACAUUUGGUUUAAAUUAAAGUUUGAAGUGGGGGUGAAUGGUAAGAACGGAGCGGGGCGUCCUGGUACCGUCAAGGUGAUAACCGGAUUCGGGGCAGAUAUUCUGCUGAUCUGCUCUAUUUCCAAAAUUUUACCCCGUUGCCCCGAUCAUAUUCCAGGGCAGGACGAAACCCAGACGGGUCGCCCCGGUUAAAAAAAUAAUAUAAUUUAUUAUAUUAUAUUAGAUAUAAAUUAUUAGGAUUAGAAAUUUAUUAAAUUUUUAAGCUUAGGCCCAUUUUAGAUUUACUCUUUAAGAAUUAGGCCAUUUUAGAUUUUUAGGCUUACUCCUUUGUUAAUAUUUUUUAUUUUUUAAUAAUUUGCAUUUUAAAAUUCCAGGGCAGAUCACGGGACAGGGCCGAUCCGUCCGCGCCCCGCCCCGUUCUCACUCCUAGUUUGAAGGUAGUUGAAUCCAUAUUCCAAGGGAAAAGUAGAACUAGAAUUGCUAUGUACGGAUAUAAAACAUGGUUCCGUGAUCCAUACCCAAUGAUUACAAGGUCAAACUCUUAUUACUUAUUAGAGAGUUGGUUGCAU